rnacentral:rRNA from 1 species
GGUGAACGCUGGCGGCGUGCUUAAGACAUGCAAGUCGAACGCAGUCUUCGGACUGAGUGGCGCACGGGUGAGUAACACGUAACUGGCCUACCCCCAAGUCGCGGAUAACUGGCCGAAAGGUCAGCUAAUACGUGAUGUGAUGUCCCCUUUCUGGGGGGCCAUUAAAGGUUUACUGCUUGGGGAUGGGGUUGCGUUCCAUCAGCUAGUUGGCGGGGUAAAGGCCCACCAAGGCAACGACGGAUAGCCGGCCUGAGAGGGUGGCCGGCCACAGGGGCACUGAGACACGGGUCCCACUCCUACGGGAGGCAGCAGUUAGGAAUCUUCCACAAUGGGCGAAAGCCUAAUGGAGCGACGCCGCGUGAGGGAUGAAGGUUCUCGGAUCGUAAACCUCUGAAUCAGGGACGAAAGACGCGUAAGCGGGAUGACGGUACCUGAGUAAUAGCACCGGCUAACUUCGUGCCAGCCGCCGCCGUAA